GACCGCUUAGCUCAGCCGGUAGAGCAACUGACUUUUAAUCAGUAGGCCGUGGGUUCAAAUCCCACAGCGGUCACCA
rnacentral:tRNA from 1 species